UACGUAGGGUGCGAGCGUUAAUCGGAAUUACUGGGCGUAAAGCGUGCGCAGGCGGUUUGUUAAGACAGAUGUGAAAUCCCCGGGCUUAACCUGGGAACUGCAUUUGUGACUGGCAAGCUAGAGUAUGGCAGAGGGGGGGUAGAAUUCCACGUGUAGCAGUGAAAUGCGUAGAGAUGUGGAGGAAUACCGAUGGCGAAGGCAGCCCCCUGGGUCAAAACUGACGCUCAUGCACGAAAGCGUGGGGAGCAAACAGG
rnacentral:rRNA from 1 species